CUCCGGAGGUGGUGGGUGUCUGGCUAACUCCGGAGGUGGUGGGUGCCUGGCUAACUCCGGAGGUGGUGGGUGUCUGACUAACUCCGGAGGUGGUGGGUGUCCGGCUAACUCCGGAGGUGGUGGGUGUCUGACUAACUCCGGAGGUGGUGGGUGUCUGACUAACUCCGGAGGUGGUGGGUGCCUGACUAACUCCG